UCGGGUGUUCAAAGUUAAGGUUUAAAAUGCAACAACAAGAUGAUACAACUCAAUCCGAUCAGACCCAGUUCUCCGCUAGGGGUGAAUUUCCUAAUGCAAUUUCCUUUAUAAUCAUAUCUCAUCCUUUUUCACAUUCUUACAUUUUUUUCACAUUUCACUUUCUCUUUUUUUUUUUUUUGGGGUCAAGUUAUUUUCGCUCUCAAUAGACGGGCCAUAAUUCACGAGAUUGAACUUUUGGAGGUGAUCCAAAAUAUUCUCGUGUGGUUUCCCAUGCUCAUAAUGAAGCCAUUAGAGGAGCAGAGACCCA
rnacentral:lncRNA from 1 species